GCCGUGUUAUGUCCCAGAUUUGGGGCAUGACAAUAGUAAGAAGAUACACAUGGUAAUGGGUUAGAAACCAGAAUAGUAAAAAAAGAAGGAUCAAGUGCAACACAUGACAAAGCAAUAAAAGACUCGGGUGUAAAUUGAUUGAGUGAAGAGGCAUGAGUAAGUGCAAUCGAAGGAAAAAUAGUCUCAUAAAAAUUAACUGUCACGUCUCAAAUUCGAGACAUAAUACGGC
rnacentral:lncRNA from 1 species